ACGCUGGCGGCAGGCCUAACACAUGCAAGUCGAGCGGUAGAGAGAAGCUUGCUUCUCUUGAGAGCGGCGGACGGGUGAGUAAUGCCUAGGAAUCUGCCUGGUAGUGGGGGAUAACGUUCGGAAACGGACGCUAAUACCGCAUACGUCCUACGGGAGAAAGCAGGGGACCUUCGGGCCUUGCGCUAUCAGAUGAGCCUAGGUCGGAUUAGCUAGUUGGUGGGGUAAUGGCUCACCAAGGCGACGAUCCGUAACUGGUCUGAGAGGAUGAUCAGUCACACUGGAACUGAGACACGGUCCAGACUCCUACGGGAGGCAGCAGUGGGGAAUAUUGGACAAUGGGCGAAAGCCUGAUCCAGCCAUGCCGCGUGUGUGAAGAAGGUCUUCGGAUUGUAAAGCACUUUAAGUUGGGAGGAAGGGUUGUAGAUUAAUACUCUGCAAUUUUGACGUUACCGACAGAAUAAGCACCGGCUAACUCUGUGCCAGCAGCCGCGGUAAUACAGAGGGUGCAAGCGUUAAUCGGAAUUACUGGGCGUAAAGCGCGCGUAGGUGGUUAGUUGAGUUGGAUGUGAAAUCCCCGGGCUCAACCUGGGAACUGCAUUCAAAACUGACUGACUAGAGUAUGGUAGAGGGUGGUGGAAUUUCCUGUGUAGCGGUGAAAUGCGUAGAUAUAGGAAGGAACACCAGUGGCGAAGGCGACCACCUGGACUGAUACUGACACUGAGGUGCGAAAGCGUGGGGAGCAAACAGGAUUAGAUACCC
rnacentral:rRNA from 1 species